AAGAAUGUCAACUUUUAGAAAGUUCCUGCUAACAAUGUGAGCUGAAAAAAAUUGCAGCGCCUUUCACAUUGCAAAUUUUUUAAUCAAACUAUAAAGCUUGGAAUUCAAUUAUUGAAAUUGUGGAAUCAAAUUGAGAAAAUGAAAAAAAAAAACGUAUUGCCGCAACAAAGAAAGCCCCGCUUUUCAUCUUCAUAUUGACAGUGAAGAAAAAACAAGCCAAAUGAUAACAAACUUUUAUGAUUACCGUUUUGAUUGAAAUCUAUAAAAGUUUCAAAAGGAACAUUAGAUGGGAGUGCAUUCUUGGUCAUCAGGGAAAAGGGGCGGCGCGUUUGCACCGAAGAUCAGUAAGGCGUGAUAUGAAGUCAGCAGCAUUCCUUGAAUUUAGACUUCGCCUCAAAACGACAAGGAAGACUGUAAAACGUCUGAAAUUCGGAUCAACAGACAAUUUGAAACUUAGUCUACUGAACAAUGAAAUUGAGAGUUCCGUUGCAGUAAUGGACACUAUAAUUGUUUGAUCUCAAAGUUGAUUGAACUACUUCUACGACGACGAUUCAACCACAUCUUCCGAUCACCUUGAGAAAUAAUUUAUCUCUUUUUGAUAAGAACGCACGUGGCGAUGGCCUCUGCAGAAGUUUGCUCCUCUCGAGAAUUCGUUGACUUAUCGCACGUUUUCAUCAUUUUCGCAAUUAUUUUUGUUUGAUCUUUUGACAGAUAACAAUGAGGUGGUGAUG
ensembl:lincRNA linc-96 ncRNA